AAGAAUCGGAGAAGCUGCCAAGAAUCAAGCUCCUCUUAACCCUAAACGCACUAUCUUCGAUGUCAAGCGCCUCAUUGGGAGGAAGUAUGUCAAAUUCAAUUUUUCUAAUUACUUUUUUCUUUCCGAAGUAGUUGCUAAAUCAGUCAUUAUACAUUUACGUAUAAAUAUAUGUGUUGUUUGUUAUGAUUAAUUUGGUAGCUGAUUUUGUCUAGAAAGAUCUAAUAGUUUGUUGAAUUUGGUUUUUAACGUGAAAAGGUUUGAUGACCCUGAGGAAAGCCUUAUAUUCAGGUCCAAGUCAAAGGUGUUUAGCCCCGAAGAGUAUUAACUAAGAUGAAGGAAACCGCUGAAUCUUUCUUGGGGAAGAAGAUAAAAUCCGCUGUCAUCACUGUUCCAGCAUAUUUCAAUGAUGCACAAAGACAAGCCACCAAGGAUAAUCAAUGAACCAACAGCGGCUGCUAUAGCAUAUGGUUUGGACAUUCUUGUCUAUGAUCUUGGUGGUGGUACUUUUGAUGUUAGCAUCUUGACCAUUGAUAAUGGUGUGUUUGAGGUUUUGGCUACAAGUGGAGAUAUACAUUUAGGAGGAGAGGAUUUCAACCACCGCCUCAUGGAUUAUUUCAUCAAAUUGAUAAAGAAGAAGUACAACAAAGACAUCAGUAAGGAUAACAGGGCAAUUGGGAAGCUCAGAAGGGAGAGUGAGAGUAGCCAGCACCAAGUCCGGGUUGAGGUAGCACUAGGAUUCCCAAAGUUCAACAGCUAUUAAUGGAUUUCUUUCAGGGCAAGGAACUCAAUAAAGGUAUCAAUCCUGAUGAGGCUGUUAAGGUGUUCCGAAGCAAUAAGAGUUUGAACAAUGAGAUUUCUUGGUCCCAUCACGAUGAUCAUGGAGCUGAUGGUGGAAUGUUAUUCAU